GAUGAACGCUGGCGGCGUGCCUAAUACAUGCAAGUCGAACGCUGGAGAUCUAGCUUGCUAGAUCGAAGGAGUGGCGAACGGGUGAGUAAUACAUAAGCAACCUACCCACGAAGACUGGGAUAAUCUCUGGAAACGGGGACUAAUACCGGAUAGGUAAUCGGAAGGCAUCUUCUGGUUAUUAAAGGUUAAAAACACUGGUGGAUGGGCUUAUGGCGCAUUAGUUAGUUGGUGAGGUAACGGCCCACCAAGACGAUGAUGCGUAGCCGGCCUGAGAGGGUGAACGGCCACAUUGGGACUGAGACACGGCCCAGACUCCUACGGGAGGCAGCAGUAGGGAAUUUUCGGCAAUGGGGGCAACCCUGACCGAGCAACGCCGCGUGAGUGAAGACGGCCUUCGGGUUGUAAAGCUCUGUUGUAAGGGAAGAACGGUAGAUAGAGAAUAUCUAAGUGACGGUACCUUACCAGAAAGCCACGGCUAGCUACGUG
rnacentral:rRNA from 1 species